rnacentral:rRNA from 1 species
AGAGUUUGAUCAUGGCUCAGAUUGAACGCUGGCGGCAGGCCUAACACAUGCAAGUCGAACGGUAACAGGAAGCAGCUUGCUGCUUUGCUGACGAGUGGCGGACGGGUGAGUAAUGUCUGGGAAACUGCCUGAUGGAGGGGGAUAACUACUGGAAACGGUGGCUAAUACCGCAUAACGUCGCAAGACCAAAGAGGGGGACCUUCGGGCCUCUUGCCAUCAGAUGUGCCCAGAUGGGAUUAGCUUGUUGGUGAGGUAACGGCUCACCAAGGCGACGAUCCCUAGCUGGUCUGAGAGGAUGACCAGCCACACUGGAACUGAGACACGGUCCAGACUCCUACGGGAGGCAGCAGUGGGGAAUAUUGCACAAUGGGCGCAAGCCUGAUGCAGCCAUGCCGCGUGUAUGAAGAAGGCCUUCGGGUUGUAAAGUACUUUCAGCGGGGAGGAAGGUGUUGUGGUUAAUAACCGCAGCAAUUGACGUUACCCGCAGAAGAAGCACCGGCUAACUCCGUGCCAGCAGCCGCGGUAAUACGGAGGGUGCAAGCGUUAAUCGGAAUUACUGGGCGUAAAGCGCACGCAGGCGGUCUGUCAAGUCGGAUGUGAAAUCCCCGGGCUCAACCUGGGAACUGCAUUCGAAACUGGCAGGCUUGAGUCUUGUAGAGGGGGGUAGAAUUCCAGGUGUAGCGGUGAAAUGCGUAGAGAUCUGGAGGAAUACCGGUGGCGAAGGCGGCCCCCUGGACAAAGACUGACGCUCAGGUGCGAAAGCGUGGGGAGCAAACAGGAUUAGAUACCCUGGUAGUCCACGCCGUAAACGAUGUCUACUUGGAGGUUGUGCCCUUGAGGCGUGGCUUCCGGAGCUAACGCGUUAAGUAGACCGCCUGGGGAGUACGGCCGCAAGGUUAAAACUCAAAUGAAUUGACGGGGGCCCGCACAAGCGGUGGAGCAUGUGGUUUAAUUCGAUGCAACGCGAAGAACCUUACCUGGUCUUGACAUCCACGGAAGUUUUCAGAGAUGAGAUUGUGCCUUCGGGAACCGUGAGACAGGUGCUGCAUGGCUGUCGUCAGCUCGUGUUGUGAAAUGUUGGGUUAAGUCCCGCAACGAGCGCAACCCUUAUCCUUUGUUGCCAGCGGUUAGGCCGGGAACUCAAAGGAGACUGCCAGUGAUAAACUGGAGGAAGGUGGGGAUGACGUCAAGUCAUCAUGGCCCUUACGACCAGGGCUACACACGUGCUACAAUGGCGCAUACAAAGAGAAGCGACCUCGCGAGAGCAAGCGGACCUCAUAAAGUGCGUCGUAGUCCGGAUUGGAGUCUGCAACUCGACUCCAUGAAGUCGGAAUCGCUAGUAAUCGUGGAUCAGAAUGCCACGGUGAAUACGUUCCCGGGCCUUGUACACACCGCCCGUCACACCAUGGGAGUGGGUUGCAAAAGAAGUAGGUAGCUUAACCUUCGGGAGGGCGCUUACCACUUUGUGAUUCAUGACUGGGGUGAAGUCGUAACAAGGUAACCGUAGGGGAACCUGCGGUUG